GAUAAAGCGGGUGAAAAGCCCGCUCGCCGGAAGACCAAGGGUUCCUGUCCAACGUUAAUCGGGGCAGGGUGAGUCGACCCCUAAGGCGAGGCCGAAAGGCGUAGUCGAUGGGAAACAGGUUAAUAUUCCUGUACUUGGUAUUACUGCGAAGGGGGGACGGAGAAGGCUAUGUUGGCCGGGCGACGGUUGUCCCGGUUUAAGCGUGUAGGCUGGUUUUCCAGGCAAAUCCGGAAAAUCAAGGCUGAGGCGUGAUGACGAGGCACUACGGUGCUGAAGCAACAAAUGCCCUGCUUCCAGGAAAAGCCUCUAAGCAUCAGGUAACAUCAAAUCGUACCCCAAACCGACACAGGUGGUCAGGUAGAGAAUACCAAGGCGCUUGAGAGAACUCGGGUGAAGGAACUAGGCAAAAUGGUGCCGUAACUUCGGGAGAAGGCACGCUGAUAUGUAGGUGAAGUCCCUUGCGGAUGGAGCUGAAAUCAGUCGAAGAUACCAGCUGGCUGCAACUGUUUAUUAAAAACACAGCACUGUGCAAACACGAAAGUGGACGUAUACGGUGUGACGCCUGCCCGGUGCCGGAAGGUUAAUUGAUGGGGUCAGCGCAAGCGAAGCUCUUGAUCGAAGCCCCGGUAAACGGCGGCCGUAACUAUAACGGUCCUAAGGUAGCGAAAUUCCUUGUCGGGUAAGUUCCGACCUGCACGAAUGGCGUAAUGAUGGCCAGGCUGUCUCCACCCGAGACUCAGUGAAAUUGAACUCGCUGUGAAGAUGCAGUGUACCCGCGGCAAGACGGAAAGACCCCGUGAACCUUUACUAUAGCUUGACACUGAACAUUGAGCCUUGAUGUGUAGGAUAGGUGGGAGGCUUUGAAGUGUGGACGCCAGUCUGCAUGGAGCCGGCCUUGAAAUACCACCCUUUAAUGUUUGAUGUUCUAACGUGGACCCGUGAUCCGGGUUGCGGACAGUGUCUGGUGGGUAGUUUGACUGGGGCGGUCUCCUCCUAAAGAGUAACGGAGGAGCACGAAGGUUGGCUAAUCCUGGUCGGACAUCAGGAGGUUAGUGCAAUGGCAUAAGCCAGCUUGACUGCGAGCGUGACGGCGCGAGCAGGUGCGAAAGCAGGUCAUAGUGAUCCGGUGGUUCUGAAUGGAAGGGCCAUCGCUCAACGGAUAAAAGGUACUCCGGGGAUAACAGGCUGAUACCGCCCAAGAGUUCAUAUCGACGGCGGUGUUUGGCACCUCGAUGUCGGCUCAUCACAUCCUGGGGCUGAAGUAGGUCCCAAGGGUAUGGCUGUUCGCCAUUUAAAGUGGUACGCGAGCUGGGUUUAGAACGUCGUGAGACAGUUCGGUCCCUAUCUGCCGUGGGCGCUGGAGAACUGAGGGGGGCUGCUCCUAGUACGAGAGGACCGGAGUGGACGCAUCACUGGUGUUCGGGUUGUCAUGCCAAUGGCACUGCCCGGUAGCUAAAUGCGGAAGAGAUAAGUGCUGAAAGCAUCUAAGCACGAAACUUGCCCCGAGAUGAGUUCUCCCUGACCCUUUAAGGGUCCUGAAGGAACGUUGAAGACGACGACGUUGAUAGGCCGGGUGUGUAAGCGCAGCGAUGCGUUGAGCUAACCGGUACUAAUGAACCGUGAGG
rnacentral:rRNA from 1 species